rnacentral:rRNA from 1 species
UACGUAGGGGGCAAGCGUUGUCCGGAUUUAUUGGGCGUAAAGCGCACGCAGGCGGUCUGUUCAGUUUGGAGUGACAGUUCCUGGCUCAACCGGGAAAGUGCUUCGAAUACUGGCGGACUUGAGGGCUUCAGAGGGACACGGAAUUCCGGGUGGAGUGGUGAAAUGCGUAGAGAUCCGGAGGAACACCAGUGGCGCAGGCGGCUCUCUGGGUCGGCCCUGACGCUGAGGCGCGAAAGCGUGGGGAGCGAACGGG